rnacentral:rRNA from 1 species
CACAUGCAGUCGAACGGUGAUGCCCAGCUUGCUGGGUGGAUCAGUGGCGAACGGGUGAGUAACACGUGAGCAACCUGCCCCCUACUUCGGGAUAAGCCUUGGAAACGAGGUCUAAUACCGGAUAUGAGCACUUACCGCAUGGUGGGUGUUGGAAAGUUUUUCGGUGGGGGAUGGGCUCGCGGCCUAUCAGCUUGUUGGUGGGGUAAUGGCCUACCAAGGCGUCGACGGGUAGCCGGCCUGAGAGGGCGACCGGCCACACUGGGACUGAGACACGGCCCAGACUCCUACGGGAGGCAGCAGUGGGGAAUAUUGCACAAUGGGCGAAAGCCUGAUGCAGCGACGCCACGUGAGGGAUGACGGCCUUCGGGUUGUAAACCUCUUUCAGCAGGGAAGAAGCGAAAGUGACGGUACCUGCAGAAGAAGCGCCGGCUAACUACGUGCCAGCAGCCGCGGUAAUACGUAGGGCGCAAGCGUUGUCCGGAAUUAUUGGGCGUAAAGAGCUCGUAGGCGGUCUGUCGCGUCUGGUGUGAAAUCCCAUGGCUCAACUGUGGGCUUGCAUCGGGUACGGGCAGACUAGAGUGCUGUAGGGGAGACUGGAAUUCCUGGUGUAGCGGUGGAAUGCGCAGAUAUCAGGAGGAACACCGAUGGCGAAGGCAGGUCUCUGGGCAGUUACUGACGCUGAGGAGCGAAAGCAUGGGGAGCGAACAGGAUUAGAUACCCUGGUAGUCCAUGCCGUAAACGUUGGGCACUAGGUGUGGGGCCAGUUCCACUGGUUCUGUGCCGCAGCUAACGCAUUAAGUGCCCCGCCUGGGGGAGUACGGCCGCAAGGCUAAAACUCAAAGGAAUUGACGGGGGCC